UCAAUGGUGCAACUCAAAAAUAUUUUGUAGUGCGUACGUUGUAACUUAGUGCCCGUUUAAGUCGAACCUACAGUAGGCUAAGUUGUAACUUACGCACAGCUGGUGCAGCCGGCCCCAGGUCAGUAAAAUCAGUCUUGUUUAACUGGAUUUCAUUCAUUAAUUAUAUUUUCGCAAAAGUUUAAGUUGGGGUACUGCAAUGUUCAUUUUCUAUAAAAAAUGCUAACUUACUGUAAAUGAUUGCUAGCAAAUUAUUUUAAAAUAAUGUUAGCACAUGAAAGCAUUGCAAAUAAAUUGUUUACUUUACGUUCUUUGUGUAUGUUUUUGACCAGCAAACUAUGUGUAAUGAAGAAUUGGUGUAAAUUACAGUAGAAGUUAAAGAAUUUCUGUCUGUAAGGAUUUUUUGGUCACCCUAAUAAAAUCACUGGGUCUUACCUGGCCACCUCUAAAAAAAAGUUCUGGCUACGCCCCUGGAUGAUGUAGUUAGCCAUGCAUCUUGGAAGUUGUAGUCGAUUUGCGAAUACAGCAUUAAAUGCGCCCUAUGAAAAGGACUUCAUUUCACAGAAUGCUUCCUCUCACUAGAAGAACCGGAAGUCCGUAAUUCAAUUUCUACCGCGGAACGGAAGCGUCCUUUGUUUUGAUCAAUGAGCUGCAAUACAGUUCGGGUAAAAUGAAAAAAAAAAGAACACGACAGCAGCGCAUCUUUGUGAAACAGCAGACUUAUCUCCAGUCAAAGACAGACUCCCUGAGGCCACCAAAAUGGAAAACCAAUACUUGAUCUUGGAUUAUUUGGUGGAGUGGAUGUGAAGACACAGUCUGGUGAAUGAAGCUGGCAAUAAAAAACCCAGGCCAAAACUGUGAACUGGAGAGAGGUGUAAAUGGGAAAAUAGGAUUCCCAAUUUUGUUGUGAUUGAGGCAGUAAGAGGUCCUUCAUGUGCACAGAUGACUGAGUUGGAAGUCAAAAAAGUUACUAAACUUGGGUUUCAUCUAACUGUUUUCAUCUUUUACAGUGUUGUUUGUAACUUAUUUGUCUAAUACAUAUUUGCACAUCUGUAAACAUACUUUUUGUCUUUAAUUUCUCUUGUUUAUUCAUUCAGUUCAUUUAUUGGUUUCUGUUAUUAAUUGUUUUAUCCACUAAAUAUUUUAAUUGUUUUAAUUUAAUCCUUAAUAUAUGAAUUUAGUGCUUAGUUUAUUGUUGCUUUGUUUUUUGUAUUGUGUUACUAUUUACAGUAUGUGUUGCUUUUAGUUUAUUGUUUGCCAUUAUUUGUUGCGUAGUUUCCAUUGUAUUUUUAUGUUUCUGUUGUAUUGUGUGACUUUGUUUUUGUUGCCUUUUUCUGUUGUCUAAAUGUUAGUGUAAUUGUUUUUUGGCACCUCUUUUGACAUUAUAUUUAUUUUUUGCUGCAUUUGAGUAGAUUUUAUUGUCAGCAUCAAUUAAACACAA